GGGAAAUACGGACGUGAGAGUGCGUAAGACGGAGGGAGAACAGCGUUUACGGUGAUUUAUGGGCCGACAGCGAGCGUAGGCGGUUUUGUAAGUCUGAUGUGAAAGGCACCGGCUCAACCGUGGAUGGUCAUUGGAUGCUGGAAACCUUGAGGGCAGAAGAGGAAAGUGUAAUUCCAUGUGUAGCGGUGUAAUGCGCAGAGAUAUGGAGGAACACCAGUGGCGAAGGCGACUUUCUGGUCUGCAACUGACGCUGAUGUGCGAAAGCGUGGUGAUCAAACAGGAUUAGAUACCCGGGUAGUC
rnacentral:rRNA from 1 species